CCCCGCAGCCCUUUCAGCUCUCAGGUUGCAAGCACCCGCCCGCAGCCUUUUUUCCUCCCUCCCCCUUUCCACUUCCCACACACCCGCUAGCUCCGCUUGUGGAGCUCUCCAGGCGCCCAGACUUUUACAGUUCUCCUCAGGGAGCAGCAGGACGGACCCCUUUGCCCCCGCCCCACCGGGUUGCCAAGGUGUAGAGCUGCUAAGCUGUGGCCAUUUAAAUAAGGGAGAUUUCAAAGGCAGGAGGGGAAAUUUGGGGGAGGCCGUAAAGGUCUCGUGGAAACACUCUGCAAUGCAACCAUCCCUCCGAGGAGAGCCUUUGCAUGCAGCCUUGAAUAUCACCUGCAACGAGAGAGGCUUCAUUACCCCUGAAGAUGGUACAACUCUACUCACUUGUCGGUUAUCACUAGAUGUGCUCCUUCCAUCUGCCUGUCUACAAAGGACAAGUAUUGUCUUUGGUGUGAGAUCUGAAUGACUUGGAGUAAGUGAC